rnacentral:rRNA from 1 species
CACGUAGUUAGCCGGGGCUUCUUGUCAGGUACUGUCAUUUUUUUCUUCCCUGCCGAUAGAGCUUUACAUACCGAAAUACUUCUUCACUCACGCGGCGUCGCUGCAUCAGGGUUUCCCCCAUUGUGCAAUAUCCCCCACUGCUGCCUCCCGUAGGAGUUUGGGCCGUGUCUCAGUCCCAAUGUGGCCGGUCACUCUCUCAAGCCGGCUACUGAUCGUCGCUUUGGUAGGCCAUUACCCUGCCAACUGGCUAAUCAGACGCGGGCUCAUCCUGUACCUAUAAAUAUUUGAUGGAAAUAUCAUGCGGUAUCUCCAUGUUAUGCGGUUUUAGCAGCCGUUUCCAACUGUUACUCCCCCUGUACAGGGCAGGUUACCCACGUCGUUACUCACCCGUCCGCCACUAAGUCUUAACUCCUUCCAUACCGAAAACUUCCGACACUAACGACCCGUUCGACUUGCACUGUGUUAGCACGCCGCCAGUCGUUCACUCCUGACGCCAGGAUACAAACUCUCGUGACGACUACCGG